rnacentral:rRNA from 1 species
GACUACUGGGGUAUCUAAGCCUGUUUGAUCCCCACGCUUUCGUGCAUCAGCGUCAGUUGUAGCCCGGUAAGCUGCCUUCGCAAUCGGGGUUCUGUGUUAUAUCUAUGCAUUUCACCGCUACACAACACAUUCCGCCUACCUUAUCUACUCUCAAGAAUAACAGUUUCAACGGCAAUUUUACAGUUAAGCUGCAAACUUUCACCACUGACUUAUUAUCCCGCCUACGCACCCUUUAAACCCAAUAAAUCCGGAUAACGCUCGGAUCCUCCGUAUUACCGCGGCUGCUGGCACGGAGUUAGCCGAUCCUUAUUCGCAGAGUACAUACAAAACAUCACACGUGAUGCACUUUAUUCCCCUGCAAAAGCAGUUUACAAUCCAUAGGACAUUCUUCCUGCACGCGACUUGGCUGGUUCAGACUCUCGUCCAUUGACCAAUAUUCCUCACUGCAGCCUCCCGUAGG